CCUACGGGAGGCAGCAGUGGGGAAUAUUGCGCAAUGGGCGAAAGCCUGACGCAGCGACGCCGCGUGAGGGAUGAAGGUCUUCGGAUCGUAAACCUCUGUCAGCAGGGAAGAACGGUCACUGUGCUAAUCAGCAGUGAAUUGACGGUACCUGCAAAGGAAGCACCGGCUAACUCCGUGCCAGCAGCCGCGGUAAUACGGAGGGUGCGAGCGUUAAUCGGAGUUACUGGGCGUAAAGCGCUCGUAGGCGGUAUGUCAAGUCAAGGGUGAAAUCCCCGCGCUCAACGUGGGAACUGCCUUUGAAACUGGCAAACUGGAGUGUGCGAGAGGAUAGUGGAAUGCCAGGUGUAGGAGUGAAAGCCGUAGAUAUCUGGAGGAACAUCAGUGGCGAAGGCGACUAUCUGGCACAUAACUGACGCUGAGGAGCGAAAGCGUGGGUAGCAAACAGGAUUAGAUACCCGGGUAGUC
rnacentral:rRNA from 1 species